rnacentral:misc_RNA from 1 species
AACACUGUUAACCUGCGGUACCUGCGGAGGGAUCAUUAAAAAGAGUGCGUACCCCCCUGUAAAAUGGGUGGGUGAAACUCCCGUCCUUUGUUGACCUCUUAGGAGGUUAUUUUGAACUUUCUGCUUCGGUGGGGUUAAAUCUACCGGAACAUCCUCAAAUUCUGAUCAUUUAAAAUUUGUUCAGUCCGAGAAUUUUUGUUUAAAAACAAAAAAACUUUCAACAACGGAUCUCAGAUCGGA